rnacentral:tRNA from 1 species
UAGUAAGAAGCAAAAUUUGCAUUUAGUUUCGACCUAAAAAUUUAGUAUUUACUCUACUAU